AGAGUUUGAUCAUGGCUCAGGAUGAACGCUGGCGGCGUGCCUAAUACAUGCAAGUCGAACGGGAUUCCAAGAUUUCGGUUUUGGAUGAGAGUGGCGCACGGGUGAGUAACACGUAGCUGACCUGCCCUUUGCUGGGGGAUAACCCGGGGAAACCCGGGCUAAUACCGCGUAAGCUUGAUGAUCUUAGAAGUCAUUGAGGAAAGUGUUUGGAAACGGCGAAGGAGGGGGCUGCGGGCCAUCAGCUAGUUGGUGAGGUAACGGCUCACCAAGGCGAAGACGGCUAGGGGGCCUGAGAGGGUGACCCCCCACACUGGGACUGAGACACGGCCCAGACUCCUACGGGAGGCAGCAGUAAGGAAUAUUGCCCAAUGGACGCCAGUCUGAGGCAGCAACGCCGCGUGGAGGAUGACGGUUUUCGGAUUGUAAACUCCUUUUCUGUGUGAAGAGGAAGGACGGUAGCACAGGAAGAAGUCUCGGCUAACUACGUGCCAGCAGCCGCGGUAAAACGUAGGAGGCGAGCGUUAUCCGGAGUUACUGGGCGUAAAGCGCGCGUAGGCGGUGGUGCAAGUGGUGCGUGAAAGCUCCUGGCUCAACUGGGAGAGGCCGUACCAAACUGCAUUCUGAGA
rnacentral:rRNA from 1 species